rnacentral:sRNA from 1 species
AGACUCAUCGCAGCGGUGACUCGGCAGCAGCGUCUCGCGUCAUCAGUGACAGCCCCGACCCUUGCUACGUUUGCGUCGCUCUGCCAGGAGCAGUCGCCUCCUCCUUGGCAAAUAGUCCUCGGCAGGGUCCGAGUUCUUGGAUAAUUCGAGAGAAAAGGCACGAUAAGUUGCAGUACGAGGACACGGAAACGACCAGGAGAGGAGGACAGGGAGCGAAGUUUCCGCAAUAGUGUGUGAAGUUAGUUAAAAUCUCCCUCCUUCCUCAGGAUCCCUCCGCCUGCGGUAGCGGUGGUGAGGCCGAGGGAGCCGCCAUUUUGGAUGUUCGGUUCCUGCUGCCACUGCUGCCGCCGCCCCCGGAGCUGCUGGUUUCAUUCGAGGUUUCGGGCCGCUCCUGGCCCUGCGGACGUCAGCGUCUAAUAAUUCUCCCGGUCUUCCUGAUUGCUUGAAAGAGUCGGGACGGUUCGGUUGAUUGUGUUUCCCGGUUAGGACUUGGUGUAGGAGAUCCAUCGAACCACUCGCUCAGAAGGAUGCCAGCCCCCAUCAGAUUGCGGGAGCUGAUCCGGACCAUCCGGACAGCCCGAACCCAAGCUGAAGAACGAGAAAUGAUCCAGAAAGAAUGUGCUGCAAUCCGGUCAUCUUUUAGAGAAGAAGACAAUACAUACCGAUGUCGGAAUGUGGCAAAAUUACUGUAUAUGCACAUGCUGGGCUACCCUGCUCACUUUGGACAGUUGGAGUGCCUCAAGCUUAUUGCCUCUCAAAAAUUUACAGACAAACGCAUUGGCUAUUUAGGGGCAAUGCUGCUGUUAGAUGAAAGACAAGAUGUCCAUCUUCUCAUGACCAACUGUAUCAAGAAGUAAGUCUUACUUUUCUGUCUUCUAACAACUGUUAACUACUUUGUUCUUUUUUGUAUUUUCUUUGAGACGGAGUCUUGCUCUUUUGCCCAGGCUGGAGUGAAGUGGCGUGAUCUUGGCUCACUGCAUCCUCCUCCG